UUCUUUGAAGAUUCCCUUUCAUGCAGUGUUUAAAGCUGAAUGUAAAAUGACUGAAAACUUUCAAAGAUCAAAUUCUUCUAAAAGAAAGAA